rnacentral:rRNA from 1 species
GAUGAACGCUGGCGGCGUGCCUAAUACAUGCAAGUCGAGCGAACGGACGAGAAGCUUGCUUCUCUGAUGUUAGCGGCGGACGGGUGAGUAACACGUGGAUAACCUACCUAUAAGACUGGGAUAACUUCGGGAAACCGGAGCUAAUACCGGAUAAUAUUUUGAACCGCAUGGUUCAAAAGUGAAAGACGGUCUUGCUGUCACUUAUAGAUGGAUCCGCGCUGCAUUAGCUAGUUGGUAAGGUAACGGCUUACCAAGGCAACGAUGCAUAGCCGACCUGGGAGGGUGAGAGGCAACAGUAGAACGGAGACGCGGUCGAGAGACCGACGGGAGGAGACAGGAGGGAAUCUUCCGCAAUGGGAGAAAGCCGGACGGAGCAACAACGCGGGAGUGAUGAAGGUCUUCGGAUCGUAAAACUCUGUUAUGAGGGAAGAACAUAAGGGUACGUAACUGUGCACACCGUGAGGGGACCUAAUCAGAAAGCCACGGCUAACUACGUG